AAUAUUGCGCAAUGGAGGGAACUCUGACGCAGCGACGCCGCGUGAGCGAUGAAGGUCUUCGGAUCGUAAAGCUCUGUCCUUGGGGAAGAAGGGAGCCGUAAGGCUUCUUGACGGUACCCAUGGAGGAAGCCCCGGCUAACUACGUGCCAGCAGCCGCGGUAAUACGUAGGGGGCAAGCGUUGUCCGGAAUUAUUGGGCGUAAAGGGUGCGUAGGCGGCUUUUUAAGUCAGAUGUGAAAGACCACGGCUUAACCGUGGGGUUGCAUUUGAACCUGGAAGGCUUGAGUGCAGGAGAGGAGAGUGGAAUUCCUAGUGUAGCGGUGAAAUGCGUAGAUAUUAGGAGGAACAUCAGUGGCGAAGGCGACUCUCUGGACUGCAACUGACGCUGAGGCACGAAAGCGUGGGGAGCGAACA
rnacentral:rRNA from 1 species